UUCUCUCUGUUGUGUUUGAUCUAUGAUGGGAAGUUGUGGUUCUCAUCAACCAGUGGAGGGUGAUGCCCAUUGGGAAUGGUAGAGCAGAAGGCAGGGAGGCCAACAAGUUCUACAAGUGCAACAUUGACUAAGGAGGAAGAAGAUGACAGUCAGUGCUGCCCCCUGAGUUGGUUGUAAGUAAGAAGGCGGGCAGGUGCAAGCAAGCUGAGGUUGAUGGAGCAGCCUCCAGAGAUCAGCAUGGAAAGCCAGAAGACAUUCCUAGAAACACAUGACAAUCAAGACACUCAACCCAUAAAUCAGGUGGACUGAAGUUCCAAAUUGUUAUAAGUGGCUCAUUUGGUUUCCAUAAAAAUGCCGUUUUAAGAUUCUGUCACCUGUUUUUUCCCCCUAUAAAGAGAGAUUGUUGGGCUUCAUUUAUUUGAAUGCAGCACUAGAAGCUGAAAUCCUUUCUGAGGCAUGAAUUAUAGCAAAACAAAGCAACAGUGUUUAUUCUAAAGUGGCCAGAAGCAUAAUAAAAUUAACAAAUGAUA